ensembl:lncRNA
GUAGUGUGUGUAGUGUGUAGUGUGUGGUGUGUAUUGUGUGGUGUGUAGUGUGUGGUGUGUAGUGUGUAUUGUGUAUUGUGUAGUGUGUGUUGUGUGUUGUGUGGUGUGUAUUGUGUAGUGUGUAUUGUGUAGUGUGUGCUGUGUAGUGUGUGUGUGUGUGGUGUGUAUUGUGUAGUGUGUGGUGUGUAGUGUGUAUUGUGUAGUGUGUGCUGUGUAGUGUGUGCUGUGUAGUGUGUGUUGUGUAUGUGUGUUGGUGUGUAGUGUGUGUUGUGUAUUGUGUAGUAUGUGGUGAUUGACGCGUCAUCUGAUAAACACACAGAGUUAAUGAGCAGCAGAAGAAAUGAAUAUAAAUAGAGGAAAUUAGCAUAACCGUAACAGAAGGGUUUAGCUGUUUGAUCUUCAGUCAGAAUGAAUGUAACUUUAUUCUUAUUUUUAUUCUUCUUUCUCUUCUUCUUAUCACUGUUAUUAGAUCUGCAGCAGAGCAGAGACCUGAACACAGUGAAUAACAAAUAAAACGUCCUCUAGAAUCUGUUACACAUAUAGUAGAUAUGUAAUACAGGAUAUACAGUGCAAUCAAAUCAUCAUAAUCAUCAUCAUCAUCACCAUCAUAAUCAUAAUAAUAAAUUGUGUUUUUGUUUAAAGUUCACAAGUCAUGUAUAAUUACGGUGCGAUUUUGUUUAGAGAAGUUUUUAUUAUUCUUAACUGGAAAAGGUGACAAUAAAUUACUAACAAAAAUCAAUAAAAACAGAAAAAGGACACGUGAGGGACAGAGAAAAAGGAAGGAAGGAAGGAUGGAAGGAAGGAUGGAGAAAUGGGAAGAAGGAAAGAUGGAAGGAAGGAAGGAAGGAGGGAAAGAAGGAGAGGUGGAAGGAAGGAAGGAAGGAGAGAUGGAAGGAGGAAAUGCUGAAAGGAAUGAUGGAAGGAAGAAAGAAAAAGAAAGUAAGAAAGAAAGAAAGAGGUUUAAAAAAAAUCUUGGGCAGAGAAAUGAAAGCAAGGGGGAAAAACAGACUGAAGAAAGUGUCAAAGCAAGCAAAACAGAGUAAAGAAGAGAGAACGUGAAAAAGACCGAGCAAAGCGUGAAAGAAAGAAACAAAAAGAGGGAUGUUAAAAGAAAAAGAAAAACUGGGGAGAAACUGGGGGAAAGUAAUGCGUUUUUGACAAAAGUACUGCACUCAUACGGAGCUGAAAGAGACGAGGAGAAAAGAGAGAGAAGAAAGCAGAGAAAACAGGAAGGAAAUGGAGAUCAAGCAAAAGGAAAAAGAGAAGAAAUAAAGAAGAAAAAAAAGAAAAACAACGAAAAAAGAGAAAAGGGAAAAUAACACAAGGAAAGAAACUGUCAUUAGAAGAAAAAGAAAAGGAGGGAAGGAGACAAAAAAGAGCAAGAAGGAAAAGAAAGAAAGAUGUUUGCUAAUAAAUAAGUAUAAUAAUGCGGGUCAGUGUGAAACCGUUCAAGUCAGUGAACUGCACAGUGUCUUUUACCUCCUCUUCCUCCUCUUCCUCCUCCUCCUCCUCUUCCUCCCUCCAUCCUCCUCCACCUCCCGCAGGUGUAAACACAUCCAUCUGCCCCUCGGAGCGUCUCGUUUCCCCUCCGUGUGGUCGAGAGGAGAGAGACGGACCCUCGACCCGAGCCUUCAGCUUUCUGAGAGCUGUCGUCUUAACAAGCGCCGGUGGGAAGAGCCUGCCAGCGCUCAGCUGUCUCCACAGUGAAGGAGAAAACACCAUUCUGAAACAUAAAGAGGACGAUAGUAUGGUGAGGUCGCAGGGGUCACGGUGGGGUCACGGGGGGUUCGUGCAGUCUGGGCACUCGUCUCGCGCUCUGGCCUCCAGGUGAUGUCAUCCAUCUGGCACUAAUUUGGUCCUGAAUUUCCUUCCUGGGUCACAAGGUGUGACAGCUCGCUCACUUUCUCUGGGUUUGCCCUUGUUCAGUGAACACACACACACACACACACACACACACACACACACACACUUCACUUUAACAUUAACUCCAACACUGUACUGUAGCUCUGAAUUUGUGUUGUGAAUCUCACACAGAGCAUUUUCGCAUUAAGUAUGAUUCUCUCUCUCUCUCACACACACACACACACACACACACACACACACACACACACACACACACACACACACACACACAUUAUUAAUGGCUUUGUUUUAAACAUCACAUUAAUGUGCACAAGAUACAGAGAUGUUUAUAAAAACUUCUGAAAAUAAUACUUCAGUAAAACACCAAAUCUACAGUGAUCAGAAGUCAGGAACGAAUGAAAGUACGCUAAUAAUAAUAAUAAUGCAUGAUGAGAAGGAAGGAAGACUGUGAGUGUUAAGAAAGAAAGAAAGAAAGAAAGAAAGAAAGACAAUGUGAGUGUUAAUAUAUAUAUAAAAAGAAAGAAAUUCUGAGUCUUAAUAAGAAAGAAAGAAAAAGAAAGAAAGGCAGGAAUCCUUUUCCUGGAUGCCCUGAGCAGGCAUCUAUAGGCCAAAGAGGAACCUGGCUCGCUCGCUCGCUCGCGCUCGCUCUCUCUCUCUCUCUCUCACUCUCUCUCUCUCUCACACACACUCUCUCACACACACACACUCUCACACACACACUCUCACACACACACUCUCACACACACACUCACAGAGCUGGUCCAGAUGGCAGGCUGUGAUCAUUUAUUUAUGAGGAAGUUCACAGAGUUCUGCUAGCCUGCUCUCUGAGCCACCCAUCCCACACACACACACACACACACACGCACACACACAUAUACAUAUAUACUGUACACACACACACACACCACACUACUGCUGCAGUUAAAAUGGCGGCACCCAUGCACAUUUGGCUAGCAGUCAAAGCUAAGUGUAACUGCAGCAUCAUUUUAAUCAUACAGCGUCUAUUCUUAGCAAUUUAACAACACAUCUGAGGUAAAUGUGAUGUUCUGGAUGGUUCUGUAUCAUUUCCACCGUCACUGUGAUUUUACAAGCCUUAUAAAAGACACCUUAUGACAGAAAGUUGACGUUUUUCAAUACAACACACACGACUGAUGUUUAGCAUUUGAUGCUAAGUGUAAUUACGGUGUAAUUUCAGUUGUACGACGCCUUUUCUUAAUAAUAGCGUUUUUCAAUAUGGUGGCAAAGUUAGCAUUUGAUGCUAAGUGCAAUUACCGUGCAACGUUAGUUGUGGAACGUCUUUUAUUUUGUCAUUUUCCAACAUAUCUGAGGUAAAUGUUAACGUUCCUGGCAGUUGUGUAUUAUUCACAACAAUAUUGUUCGCAUAAAAGUGCUAAACGCUCCCAUGGAUGCUAGCUAAAUCUCGCCAAGUGUGAUUUCUGUCUUGUAAAGUCGUUUCUUAGUAAUUUAACCGCACGUCUGAGGUAAAUGUCGAUGUUCCUGAUAGUUCUCUCGUUUCUACUGCAAGUGACUGUAUAAAUGAUCAUUUAGAGUGUAAUUUUAGUCUAACGAAGUCUUUUCUUAAUCAUUUAACACCACAUCUGAGGUAAAUAUUGACGCUCCUGAUAUUUCUGUCUGGUUUCCACUUGAAUUCACGGUGUAAAUGAUCAAUUACGCUGCGAUUAUAGUCGUACAAAGCCUUUUUUUUUUGUUGCUAAUUUACCAGCACGUUAGAGAUAAAAUGUUGAUGUCACCGUGUCUUUACAUUGUCCGUGUAAAUGACGUAACGUCUACACGUAUUGUACGUGUAUUUCCUGGUGCUCAGAAAGCAAAUAACUUGUGUGUCACAGUGUUUUUCAAUAUGGCGGAGAAGUUAGUAUUUGAUGCUAAGUGCAAUUAAUGUUAGAUAUCUGAGGUAAGUGUCAAUGUUCAUGGCAGCUUGGUAGCUAAAGCUGGAUUUUUAGACAACGACACCUCCAAAAGAAGAAAUAAGAAAUUGUCUGUCCUCACAGUGCCUUCAGUGUAUAUCACACUAUUUUACUUUUCUUUUUUCUUCUUCUUUUUUUAAGAAAUAUACAGCCAUGGAUGGAGAAACAUCAAUCAUUCCCCAUAUGCAAGCUGUAAAUAUUAUGUACACUCCUAAACACAUCACACACGCCUUGAUGUUUCAGGUCUAGCGAGCCAAUUCCUGUUAAACUCCCUCAGCGUGAAGAGGCCACGGCUUAAACACACAGUGUAUAUUUUGCCAGAUGUGGUGCGAUGAAAUAUAAGAGGGACGGGACGCGUGUACACUCGGCCUCUGUCUUCAGUUUCACUUAUAUUCUGUCAGGAAAGUCAGAUUCACGUUUUUCAUCAUGUUUUAUUUUGUUUUUAGGCAGGGUUUCCUGUCACGCCACAGCGGAUCUACAUGCUUCACCGGCCAGUAAGAAAUCCAAACUUUUGUUGUAUGAAUUUUAUUAGGGUCAAUAUUAGACUUUUCCCUUUUUUACCUCCUCUGAAUGUUUUUUUUUUUGCUUUUCGUGGGUUUCUAAAAGCUAGAUGUCAACAAAUUAUAUUAAUAGUAGUAGUAGUAGAAGAAGUAGCACAACAUUACUACUACCACUACUACUACUAACAACAACAACAUCUGGAUAGUCAAUUUUUUGUUCUCUUUUUUACUAUAUAUAUAUAUAUAUAUAUAUAUAUAUAUAUAUAUAUAAGGCACAUAUGGUUCAACAAACCCUCUUAAUAUUAUUAAAAUUAAUAUAAUUAAUUAAUUAAUUAAUAUAUUAAUAAUCAUAUUAAUAUUAUUAUUUUAUAUCAUCAUCGUUGGGUGUAAUGACGUACACAAAUCCUCAUCAAAAUAUUAUAAAGAAUCUAAAUAUCCUAAAUAAAUAUUACAAUUUUUGUUUUUUAUUUAUUUAUUUUUCCAUGUUUGGUUGGGUUCUAUAGAAAAAUAAAACCCGUCUGUCCAUCCAUAUAAACCUUGAAAAUGACAAUGAGUUUCAAUUUUCCCAUGUAUACGAAUGGAAAAUUUCACACGCACGGAUGAUGUUCUCAGCUUCUGUUCUCUUUGUAACGUAACGUUUUAAUUGCUAUGCACAGCACUUCGGUAGCUCGGUGUAGUAAGUGCUAUAUAAAUGACAUUUAUUUUUAUAAUCUAGUUUUCCCUCAGGCGGUUGCAGAGUCAGCAGUUCUGCCAGUCAUCAGCACAGAUUUGAUGGUGCUGCGAAAUCUCCUUCACACAAAUCCAAACCGAAACCCAUAUGUGCCGUUUCUUUCCAUUUCCACACAAACAAAAUCAUAACGUGUUUGUUUACAAUUACGGGCAAGUAGCCGCAUUUUAACAGGUUAAUAAAGAUUUAAUGUUUAGAGGGAAGAGAUUUACACAGCCGCGUCUUUACGAGUCAGUAAAACAGGUGGAGGAAAAUGUGCUUAAUGCAGCCCAUGAGCUGUUAAAAAAUAUUUUUUUCCAUUGAAGUUCCCGCCGUUAACAAGUCCAUAAAGAAACAUUACGGUGUGUGUGGCUUCGCUUUGAGCACAACUGAGCACCAGACUCAAAAUCCUCUAAAGUUAACACGAUUUUUUUCCGUUCACUAAAUUUAUCCACGCAGUGCAUCAGUUUGACCAGAGGAGGCGCUGUUGUAAACAUUAUAUUAUUAAGUUUGCAAUGAACCAAUAUUCAACAAUGGAACAAAUCACUAUCAUGUCUGCGCUAUAAAAUAACGCACAGUGCAAAGAUUCUCUCGACGUCUAACACAUAUAUAAUUGUUCUUUAACAUGUACGUGACCUGGUUUUAAACACAAUUUCACACCAGUGAUACGCCACAUCUGGAAACAACGUCUUACUGUGAUGUAAUGUACAACAUUAUAAGAGAACAGUAAAAAUGUUUGUUUUUUUUUUUAAUCAUUUUGUUAUCACGGUAUACAGUCAUGCUAAUAUAUCUUUAUAUUCCCAAUUUACUCAAUAAAAUAAAUACACUAAUUUUUCUUCUAUCCAGGCAACUUCUACAGCUACUUUAAAAUUUUAACGAGACAUUAAAAAAAAUAAAAACUCAAGCUCAUAUAGUUAAAAAAAGAAUAUAAAAAAGAAAAUACUCAUACUCAAUAUCAUGUGUAUGUAUUUGUUAAAUAUUAAUAACGAAAUAUUUAUAAUAGUAGCAAAAUAAUGUAACUAUAUUAUUGAAUAUUUAACAUCGUCGCUAUCAACAUAGUAAAGAUGAAAAAUCUCGUAAAUGUAACCGAUGGCAAUUGUUAAUUAUGAUAUAAUUCACACUCUUCAAUUCACCCAAUAAGAUUUCAAAAACAAAUGUACUGAUGCUUUGAAUUCAACAUAAACCUUGAUUUAGCGUAAAUUUCUGAAGAUAAACUUCAGGCUUCUAAAACGUUAAAAAAUUAUUCAUUUAUAAAGCUGAGAAAAUAAAAUAUUUGUUUCAAGGAAACGCACCUGGUUAAGUCCUCUGUGGUUCUGACCCACAUCGUCUUCCAUAGUCUGGUUAUCCAUUUGGACCCACUUCGCGCUCCACGUUCUUUGUUUUUGUUCUUUUUCAUCGGUACGUUUUAGAAAUGGUUUUCGGGGACUGUUAAGAAUUUUACAAUUGCAUGUCAUAAUUUGAGCAUUAGUUGUUCGAGGAUACAAUGGCAAAGUGAACUCACAUGAUGAGAACACAUUUACAUGACAUGGAACAUACACAACAAAUUCACUUUAUGAUCAAAGAAUGUUUGAUCAUAGAAUUUUUAACAAAUUCAUUUUAAUAGCAAAAUAUGAACACUGAGUUUAGAAAUAUAUCAUUAGAAUUUGAGAUUAGUGAUCAUUUCUUUAAUCUAUUAAAAUGACCAAAUAGAACCGUAUAAUUCCAAGAUCUUAGCGUGUAUGUAAAUAAUAAAACAAAUACACAGAAUGAUUAAGAGUUACAGAUUUUCAGUUUUAACCUGAAAUUGAUACUAAUAAGUAAAUAAAUACAAACAUAAAUGUGAACAAAGCAACUCGUAGCCUGCUGGAGAUACUUCUAGGAUUAAUUGUAUAUUGAGAUUGUUGAGGAUUUUUGAACUUAAGUGCAAAAAACAAUUUUAUAUUCUUUUUUAAAAUUUUUUAUUUAUUAAUAAAGUGUUUGAGGAUGUUCACACAUAACAUGGUACAUUUAAAUAAUAUAAUAAAACUAAUACUUUUUUUUUUUUUACCAUUUAUGAAAUAACUACCAAUGCAGCAAAUUCAAAAUAGUAAUUUACAUUUGAAGAGCUAAAUAUUUAUAUUUGUAGUCACUCAGUGGUUAAGUUUCUGUGCUAGUGACCAGAACAUUAUACGGCCCUUAAGCAAAAUCCUCAACCCUCAACUGCUCGGCUUUUUAUUUAUUUAUUUCGGUAGUUUCGAUUUUUCACACCGUGAGGUUUUUUUUUGGCUGCCCUUUUGGAACAAUGAAAUCUUUGUUUAAAAAAAAAAAAAAAAAAAAAGGUUUUGGGGAAAAAGAAAAAAACCUCCAGCAUGCUCUCCUCACAAAUCUGGAAAAAAGACGAAGGUCAAAGGUCAUCAUGGUGUGCACUUCUGCCCUUUCUGAUGAGCUCAGCAGUUUUCCCAUGAUGCACUGCACUAGUCUGCCAAGUCCUGUUCAGGCCUGGUUGAUCAUGAUAAAUGCAACUGUGGUACUUCCUGACAAAAAACGAAAGAAAGAAAGAAAGAACCCAAGUUUCUGAGAGGCUCGAGUUUGUAUUGUAUUUGUGCACUCUGUUCAACGAUUGCACGUUGGCUACACUCAAAACCACAACACUAUCAUGCUAACUUGAAGUGGUCCAUGCUAACCGCUAUUAGUAUACUCUUUUCCUUCAGCGCCGUUCGUUGUGCGUAAUCACUUUCAACGCACUGUACGUGACAUCUAUUCAUUUACUAUCACUCGCUGGUUUAUUGGCUUACUUGAGGAUAGAUCUACAAAUAUAAUCACUCAUUAUUCAUUGAAUAAAAUAACCAGCUAGGUCGCCAAGCGAGUUCCCUUUCGUGGCUAGCGUGCCAGUCACACACGUUCGCUAGAUCAGCUUCUAGGUCAUGUGACUUCUGGAAAUACCAACACGAAUUGGACCACAGAGUAGACAGCUAGCUACAAGACAAGCAGUUUGUUUAUUUUAUCAACAGAAUUUUAGUGAACAGCUCAAAGAAAUAUAGAAAGCGUAAGAGUAUUCCAAAGUUGCUGAAACAUAGUGACGGUUAUCUCUCGCCAGUUUAUCGGAUUGCCCAAGAAUGACUCCGCAGCUACCACAGCUAGCUAGCUACGUUUGUACACACAUGCCUCACUGUGGAAAAUGUGGGGAUUUGCUGAGGAGUCUCAGUUCAGUCUCGUCCAUUGAACAGAAUUAUGGGACUAGCUAAGCUACGAACUGAAUAGCCUUUUAAAAGGGGUUCUUCAGACAGGUUCCUUCAGAGAACCUUUAAGAUCUUCCAAUUAGGUGCAUCUGCGUGCUGGUUUGGACAUUUUAUCGUUCCGUCGCUCCUCGAGCAUUCAACAUGAACUUCAAAACUGUUCUGAUUUUCCACUGAGCACGUCAGGGAACUGGGAGCGGGCAACACUCCACGCGCAACCAUUCUGCCGAUGACGUCAUCACGGCUGAUCUUUCUAAUGGUUUUUUUUUCCCCCCCAGCAGCCGUCCUUCAAGCAUCAACGACGAGCUAUAACUCCAGCUUUAAUUGUUGCGCAAAUUGCUCUGCGGUUGCGGAACCACCUUUGUGACGUUUACCAGCGGAGACGUUCAUUGGCCACAACAAACGAGGCUCGUGAGUGUGUAUUCCUUGUGUGCGUUAGGUUCUCAGAGGGUUCUGCGCCAGGAUUUAAUCAGAAGCAUGAGUUUGUGGGGUUUUACACAAACUUUACCGUAUUACAUCUGCCUGCGCUGUUACCAACGUGUACGCGGAACUAAAAACGACGGAAUACCAAAGUGUACGAAAUAUAGCGAAUAACGGCGUGUACAGAAUACUGAAGAUGUACUGCGUACCAAAACGUAUGAAAUGCCAAGGCAUGAGGAAUACCGACGUGUAAGGAAUAAAGUGUACAAAACACCGAAGUGUACAGAAUAUGAAAGUAUUCAAAAUAAGUGUAUGAAACACCAAAAUACGGAAGUAUGCGGAACACAAACGUGUGGGAAAUACAGCAGGAAAGAACAAAGAGUACGGAAUUCUGCACUCCUAUUUCCCAUAGAACAGUUUUUACCCAGAAUCCCCAAAGCAGGAUUAUUACCUUAGAGAUCAGAGAUGUGUUAACUAUCACUUGACCGAACACUGUCCCAGCUGUGCAAAGAAACGCUUUGUGUAAAUCCGACGUGUAAACUUCACUCAGGUGAGGCGGUGCUCGGAAUGCCGCGAUGCUUCAUCACGCUUCAUCACUCAGGUGGUCCAUACAUGCAUUUUUCUUUUUUUUUCCCCCUUCCAUGUGAGACUACGUUCUCGCGUGUGCAUGUGUUGCUCAUUUGUCAAAUUGUCAGAGAAUUUGCAUAAAAAUGUAGUUUUGUGCGUGUACGGGUCUGCAUCUGGCUUCCAGCUGUUACGCACAUCUGUCACGCCGCUAUGGACGUGCGACGCUGUAUAUCGAUACGGCGGUAACGUAUCGACAGUGUAGAACGAUUUCCACGAUCAUCGGUACACCUUUCUGGAGCGUGCUAAUAUUAAAGUAAGGUCAUUUGUGGGUAACUUUCGAAAAUAAUCGAAAGAAAUCUAAAAUUACCCGCAAUCUCCGUCUUUAAUAAAACCUCGUUACGAGUCCCGAUUCCCGUCCGAACGCAAUUAAACGUGAGCCUUGGAGGAUAAAGUAAAGCUUGUUAAUACGUUUCUUUACUGCACUUGUGACCAUAUUAAAUCUAAUAAUACGAUAUCGUGCGUGUGUGUGUGUGUGUGUGUGUGGGUCGUGGACCUGCCAGCUUCUCAGGCAUACAAAAUGAAGUUUUCUCUCAUUAUACAGUCAAAGUCAGACUCCAGCCUCUCAGAGGGACGUCAAUAACAAACAAACUGAAGUGAAUAAAGAUCAGAUUACUGCGUUUUGGCUGCGUAGGCAAAAAAAUAAUAAAUCAACCCUUUCAGCAUUGAUUAUGAUAAAUAGCAGCUCUCGAUGCAACGAGUCGCAACAUGCAUGAGCGAAGGACAACGCUGCAUGAGUUGAAUACGCGAAGAGUACUACUAAGGGAAACGUCUGGAAUCUGGACAGAAGGCGUGACAGAGCAGCCGAAAGUCGUUUAUUUUCAAUUAAGGUUGAUAGAUAAAGUGGUGACGGAAGCAGAGGGAAGUGGGCGGGGCUAGAUGCAUCAAAUCUUAACGGGAUUCACUGAUUUAUCGUGUACGGUAUUACUAAUACAAAUGAUCGACAAGGAUUUAUCCGAUUUCUAGACAUUUUCACAAAUUUGGAAUCAGAAAUCAUCCUUUGUCGGAUCGUUUUGAUAACUCCCGUCGAAAAUGGGAGUGAAUAGUGAAGCGUACGGAGUAGUGAAGUGAACCAAAUGAUGAAGGAUAAGGAAUAGUGACGCGGACGGAAUAGUGAUAAUAUAGUGUAUGGAAUAGUGAAGUGAUUAGCGCAUUUUAGAGCCCUCUGCUGGCUGAGAGGUGAAUUACAGUUACAGCUUACAAGACUUCAACUUCCUUAACCCUAUGGAUGAACGGAUGGUUGAAUGGAUGGAUGGACUAAAAAUGAAUGGAAGAACGGAUGGGGGAUGGUUGGAAGGUUGGGUAAAAGGAAGACUGGAUGGAUGGAUGAAAGGAAGACUGGAUACAAGCCACAUGAAUAGAAGGAUGGACAACUGAAAGGAAGACCUGAAGGGAUGGAUAAACGGAUGGAUGAAAGGACAGACGGAUGGAAGGAUGGAAAGGACAGAUUGUAAAAGAAUGAAGGCAGGAAAGUAAGGAUGGAUGGACAGAUGGAUGAAAGUAUAAAAUAGCAGAUGGAUGGAUGGAUAAAGGGACGCAGGGACAAAUGAAUCAGAAGUAAACAAUUCAGUUUGAUUCAUAAAUUCUUCUCAAAAUCGAAAAAUAAAAAUGACCUCAACCAAACAUCAUACUACAUUUUUAACUGAUGUUAUUUAUUUGAGAUUUUUUUGGGGAUGUAUUAUUGAAAUUUUUCUUUAUGCAUUACACAUUAGAGGCCAGAGGCAGUCCACGUCGUGUCCACGCUGCCCUCCGGCUGUUUUACAUUUUAGAACAAUUUCUUUUGAAAUAAAUUCUCGCUUCAUCUCGGCGACAGAAAAAUAGAAUUAAUACCUAAAUAAAUAAAAACAACGGAGCUCCACAAUCACUGUUUUAUUUCUCCUCAGGUAACAAACACGGCUCUCUCGGAUGGAAAACCCUUUCAUUAUCAUCUAUCGCUAUCGCGCUAAAUCUGGAGAUAUUUACACACUAACAGGCUCCGCGGUCGGAAUUCAUAUCUCCACCUCGCUUAAAUCCCAAACCGGCGUCCUUUCAUUUUUCCCCCUGCUAAAUCUGAGCCGAGUCUGGAUCAUGCUAAUUGCUGGUGGUACCUUGGGGCCUGAGCCAUGAGCUCAUUAUUUUUACCUCCAGAAAGCCCUCACAAACAGCAGGCCCACAGAGGGAGUGUGUGUGAGUGUGUGUGUGUGUGUGUGUGUGUUUUUUCAUAUUCCCCCUAAAGUGUUAGGGAGUUCCUUUUCAUUUCCACAAUAACAAGCAAGUCAAAUAUACUUGCAGCUCAUUUCUCUUACGAAAAGAAAAAAAGGAGGAAAUCAGAGCUAGCUUAAAGCUCACGGAUUAUUUUAUAUCAUUUUACGCAUGAGAGGCGAAUCUUCACUUUAAUUAGCUGCUAUAUUCAGACGCUGACAUUAAAUUUCUGCUUUUCUUUUUUUUUUUUACUCAUUAUUCUCUUUAACACCGCUCCUCUAUUCCCGCUUUUUCUUCUUCUUGUUCUUCUUUUUUUUUUUUAUCUCCGAGAGCUGUGCAUUUAAUUAAGCGGAGGGCAGCAACGACAUCGGCUGACGCUUAAGGAGUCCCCCACCUCCCCCCACCCAAACACACACAUGUACUUUCUCUUAUUUCCUACACGGGCAUUGAUUUUUAAUCUGCACGAACAAUUUACACCGAUCAUCCUGCUCAAAAGUUUACACCCCCCCCCCCCCCGGCUCUUGAUGUGUGGUGUCGCGUUCUUGAGCGUCAGUGAACGUUUGCACGUUGUGUAAUUAGUCGUGUACGAGGCCCUCGGUGUGAAAAGACGGACCUCGACAUCAUAUUGUUGGAAAGGGCUGAAAUAUGCAGAAGACGCUGGAAACGUAAAGAACGUGCAGGACCUGGAGGAUUUCUCUGAAGAACAGUGGGGGGUUUAACUGCUCAGGACGAACACGGGACUCGUGAAGAACUCUCGCAGAACAUAAACACAUCGUGUCGUGGAUCAUCCCGGUAACGACACACGGGGUUAAUAAUCAAGGGUGUGUAAACUUUUGAACGGGGUCAUCGUUAUAAAUUCAGCUAUUAUCUUGUGGACUAUAAUGUAGAGGUGUUAUGUGAAAUAGUUUAUUCAGGACAGGACUAAAUAAACAGCGUGGGGUUUUUAUCAGCCGUCUUAUUUUGUUAACAGUAUUAAGAUUUAGCAGAUUCUGCAAGGGGUACGCAAACUUUUGAGCACAACUGUAUACACACACACACACACCUCCAUCCUCGUAUCUAUCCAGUUAUCCGCUUGAAUAUUCUUUCCUGCUACCCAUUCAUCCAUCUAUUUAUCGAUUUAUUUAUUUAUUUAUUCAUACAUUUACUCAACCUGUAAUAUAUCUGUUUGGUGGAUAGACGGGUGGAUAGACUAAUAGAUGGAUGGAAAUAGGUAAAUAAUUGGAUAACUAGACAAGUGGAUAAGUGAUGGGAUAAAAACAUGGCUGGAUGGAAGAAUGAAUGAAAAAAGACUUGAUAAGCAGGAUGUGUGGAUGGAUGGAUGGAUGGAUAAAAAGAAUCAGGGAGGGAAAGGUAAUCCGUCCAGUAUACUGCUAGGUAUUCAAAUCUACACUGGGAUCUGUCCAACCAGCCAUUGUGAUAUACUGAUCCAUCCAUUCACCCAUAUUUCCAACCACUCAUUUUUUAAUCUUUCUAUCUACCCAUUUAUCCGUCCUUUCAUCCAUCAAUCCAGCCCUCCUUCCAUUUUUUCCCACCAAGCCAUACAACCAUAUUUAUCCAUUCACCUUUCCAUUGUUUUAUAUCCUCAAACCUUCUCAAGCAUUCAUAUCUAUAUAUAUCUUUUUUCCAACCAUCCCAUCAUUAUCUUUCCAUCUAUCUAUCCUUCUGUUCUUUUACCCAUCCAGCACCCAUAUACAUUUGCAUAUGCUCAUCAUUUCAACUCUUCAUCCAUCCAUCCAUUUAUAAUUUUACCCAUCAGUCAAUCCAUCCAUCCAUCCAUCUAUUCAGGCUUUCAACGCAUCCAUUUUUCUACCCAUCAUGUAUCCAUCUACAUUCUGUUAUACAUGUUCAUGCAUCGAGCCAUUCAUUUUUCCAUAUAUAUUUUCCAUUCUUCUUUCCGUCCAGUCACUCGUCCAUCCUAACAAUCUUUUCAUCCAUUUUUCCAUGUCAGACCGUCUGACAUUUGACCUCUAUUUAUAUACCGAUCGAUCAAUCUAUCGGCUCAUCGAUCCAACCCUCCUUCCACUUUUUUCACCAUCCAUCCAUCCAACCAUCCAUAGAUCUACUGUUAGACCUAUUCAUCUAUCCUCCCAUCCAUCCACCCACCCUUUCCUCUGCUCAGCGAUGAUGAAAUCAGAACAGGAAGCCGACUCAGACGGCGUAUAUAGAGCUGUGUGACAUGGUCUGCGAGUGAAAGAGAAUUUGGAGAAUUGGUGUCCUGACUGUGUCCUCUGCUCUAAAUGGAGAACGAUUGAGGAUGAACUUCCAGACCUAAACAGUGUAUAAUUACACAGCUGUUCUCAGGAAAGAGAUAUGGAUGUGGGGAAAGCCCCCGUACUGGACGGAUAUGAACAUUCCCAGGUUCUCAGCUGUGUGGGAAAACUAUGAGGGACGGAGGAGGGAACAACGAAGGCUGUGGGAAAUACUAAGUCUGGAAGUCGCUCAGGCUGUAAAUAAAAUCAUGUGGUUCAUAUCAGCGAGAUCAGUAAAUCCAAACCGCGGAGUUCUCCCCCCGCCGUGCAGAGAUGAGGCUCGUACGGAGGAACCCUCGAUGACCGCAGUGAUGAUAUCCUGCUCGUUAACAUGCGUCUGUAAAAUCAGAAUGAUGAUGAUGCUGCUACUGCUUUACCACGUCGGAUUUAAUAUCCGGCGCAGACGGGCUGCGAGCAUCAGCGCCAACUCGGCAGGUUUUUCUUUCUUUUUUUUUUUUAAAGGCGGGGGGAUUUGGAGGAUGGUCAUGUGACCAGACAGCAGCCAAGCGGAGAGGCUGAAUCGAGGUCGAGCGUAAAGUUUAGUGGGUCAGAGAGGCUGGCAGACGACUGGUGGAAAAAAAAUGUGUGUGCCAGUCCAAGACAAGCUGAGAUAGAGGGAGGGAGGGAGAGAGAGAUAAACAGAAGAGAGAAGGGAGUGAUGAGAAACAAAUCCGAGGGCAGCAAAAGGAAACAGUCUGAUACAGAUGGAAACGUGGGCGAUGAAAAGGGGAGUAUAAAAAAAAACAAAAAAAAAACAGAUUUGAUUUGAAAAUCUAGACGGAUGGAGGAGGCACAGCUAAAUAAGGAAAUGGAUGGAUAGAUGGAGCGUAGAUAAAUGGAUAAACGGAUGAAUACACAGAUACUACGGAAGGGUUCGCUGGAUCAUUAAGGGUUCUUAGCCUCUUAAAGGUUACGGAGAAGGAAACAGAGUGAACAUACUGCAUCUGUAUACUCGAACACAAAAUAAUAUAAUGUAACACACACACAUACAUACACACAUAUAUAUA